AUUGAACGCUGGCGGCAGGCCUAACACAUGCAAGUCGAACGAGUGGCGGACGGGUGAGUAAUGUCUGGGAAACUGCCCGAUGGAGGGGGAUAACUACUGGAAACGGUAGCUAAUAACGCAUACCAUCAGAUGUGCCCAGAUGGGAUUAGCUAGUAGGUGGGGUCACGGCUCACCUAGGCGAAGAUCCCUAGCUGGUCUGAGGGGAUGACCAGCCACACUGGACCUGAGACACGGUCCAGACUCCUACGGGAGGCAGCAGUGGGGAAUAUUGCACAAGGGGGGCAAGCCUGAUGCAGCCAGGCCGCGUGUAUGAAGAAGGCCUUCGGGUUGUAAAGUACUUUCAGCGAGGAGGCGUUACUCGCAGAAGAAGCACCGGCUAACUCCGUGCCAGCAGCCGCGGUAAUAC
rnacentral:rRNA from 1 species